rnacentral:rRNA from 1 species
GUAGGUGGCAAGCGUUGUCCGGGAAUUAUUGGGGCGUAAAGCGCGCGCAGGCGGUCUUUUAAGUCUGAUGUGAAAGCCCACGGGCUCAACCGUGGAGGGUCAUUGGAAACUGGAGGACUUGAGUGCAGAAGAGGAGAGUCGGAAUUCCACGUGUAGCGGUGAAAUGCGUAGAUAUGUGGAGGAACACCAGUGGCGAAGGCGGCUCUCUGGUCUGUAACUGACGCUGAGGCGCGAAAGCGUGGGGAGCAAACAGGAUUAGAUACCCUGGUAGUCCACGCCGUAAACGAUGAGUGCUAGGUGUUGGGGGCUUCCACCCUCAGUGCUGAAGUUAACACAUUAAGCACUCCGCCUGGGGAGUACGACCGCAAGGUUG